AGAUCGUGCGCAUCCAUCUUUACCCAGAAAGCUCUGCGGUUCCGCCGCGCCUGCGCAGAGGCCCUCUCCCAGAAGGCCUUGGGCUAGACCGUGGGUGGGCGUGGCUCUGGGGGGGCGGAGCCUGGCCGGAGCGAGCGACUAGUUCGUUUUCGUCCCAUAACGCUGUGUGCCCUAGAGUCCACCGUUAUUCAUUUGUUCUUUCAAAAUAUAUUUAUCAAGAGCCUCUUCUGCAGAACACUGAUCUAGACUUUUAGGGGUACUUGGGUGAACCACUUCAAGUUUCUCACUUAAGGAGGAUCAACGUUUUAGUGGGAACAGAAGAUAUUGUUAACAAAUAAGGAAGAUAAUUUCCGAAAGUGCGAAGUGCUAUUGAAACAAAUAAAGCAGUGUCACUGGUAGAGGAAGGGAAGGGGAGCUACUUUUAGGCAUACUAUUCAGGUUCGUAAUGAUGGAGUGAUAUGUGAGUGAAGAGCAGGCAGCCUUUCCCAGGUCUGGGAAACAGCAUUCCGGAUGGAGCAAACACAGAAUGAAAGACCAUAAGCACAGGGAUCUAACAUCCUUCGCUGCUGUGUCCCCAUCUCCAGUGUUCUCUCAAUAAAUAUUUGAUGAAUGAA